AUAUAAUCGAAUAUUACGAACUAUCGUUUAAAAUUCAAAGAUCUUGGCGGUGUCUUAUAAAACCAGGGGAACCUGUCUCAUAACUCGAUAACCCACGAUUACCCAACCUUUUUUUGAAAAAUUCAGCUUGUGUACUGCCGUUGUAAGCAUACCUCUAAAAGAACGAGUGUGCCACUAUGAUUAAAUAUAAAUAUUUGAUUCAAAUACAUCAGGUCAAAGUGCAGUAAAUGAAAAGGAGAUGAUGGGUUACAACCUUAAUAAAAGAUAUGAAUUAAAAAAUAAAAAAUUUUGUGAAAGUGGACUUGGAUGUAAUUUAUAAUUAAAAUUUAAAUAAAUAAAUAGUUAUCUAAGACAUGUACACAUCGCCCG
rnacentral:rRNA from 1 species